AAGGAAUUAGUUAAAACAUAACAUUAGAAUGUCAACCUAAAAUUAUCAAUACUGAUAUUCCUUU
rnacentral:tRNA from 1 species